rnacentral:rRNA from 1 species
AUUGAACGCUGGCGGCAGGCCUAACACAUGCAAGUCGAGCGCGCGGCGGACGGGUGAGUAAUGUCUGGGAAACUGCCUGAUGGAGGGGGAUAACUACUGGAAACUGUAGCUAAUACCGCAUACCAUCAGAUGUGCCCCGCUGGGAUUAGCUAGUAGGUGGGGUAAUGGCUCACCUAGGCGACGAUCCCUAGCUGGUCUGAGAGGAUGACCAGACACACUGGAACUGAGACACGGUCCAGACGCCUACGGGAGGCAGCAGUGGGGAAUAUUGCACAAUGGGCGCAAGCCUGAUGCAGCCAUGCCGAGUGUAUGAAGAAGGCCUUCGGGUUGUAAAGUACUUUCAGCGGGGAGGCGUUACCCGCAGAAGAAGCACCGGCUAACUCCGUGCCAGCAGCCGCGGUAAUUC